CUACGGGGCGCAGCAGUGGGGAAUAUUGGACAAUGGGGGAAACCCUGAUCCAGCAAUGCCGCGUGUGUGAAGAAGGCCUGCGGGUUGUAAAGCACUUUCGGUUGGGAGGACUGCUUCUAGCACUAAUAUUGUUGGAAGUUGACGUUACCUUCAGAAGAAGCACCGGCUAACUCCGUGCCAGCUGCCGCGGUAAUACGGAGGGUGCAAGCGUUAAUCGGAAUUACUGGGCGUAAAGCGCGCGUAGGCGGCUAGAUCAGUCGGGUGUGAAAGCGCCGGGCUUAACCUGGGAACUGCAUCCGAUACUGUCUAGCUUGAGUACAGGAGAGGAGAGUGGAAUUCCACAUGUAGCGGUGAAAUGCGUAGAUAUGUGGAGGAACACCAAUGGCGAAGGCAGCUCUCUGGCCUGAUACUGACGCUGAGGUGCGAAAGCGUGGGGAGCAAACAGGAUUAGAUACCCUUGUAGUC
rnacentral:rRNA from 1 species